rnacentral:rRNA from 1 species
GAACGCUGCGCAUGCUAAUACAUGCAAGUCGAACGGGAAAGACUUGUCUUUCCAGUGGCGAACGGGUGAGUAACGCGUAGACAACUUGCCUUUAAGACGAGGAUAACGGCUGGAAACGGCUGCUAAUACUGGAUAGGAUAAAGAGUCGCAUGACUUUUUAUUUAAAGGCGCGCUUGCGCCGCUUAAAGAGAGGUCUACGUCGCAUUAGCUAGUUGGUGGGGUAACGGCUCACCGAGGCGACGAUGCGUAGCUGUGCUGAGAGGCAGAACAGCCACACUGGGACUGAGACACGGCCCAGACUCCUACGGGAGGCAGCAGUAGGGAAUUUUCGGCAAUGGGGGCAACCCUGACCGAGCAAUGCCGCGUGAACGACGAAGGUCUUCGGAUCGUAAAGUUCUGUGAUUGGGGAAGAACAGCAUGAUCAGGAAAUGGGUCAUGUUUGACGGUACCCGAUUAGAAAGCCCCGGCUAACUAUGUGCCAGCAGCCGCGGUAAAACAUAGGGGGCGAGCGUUAUCCGGAAUUAUUGGGCGUAAAGAGUACGUAGGCGGCCUGUUAAGUCUGAUGUGAAAUCCCGCGGCUUAACCGCGGAGGGUCAUUGGAAACUGGCAGGCUUGAGUACGGCAGGGGUAAGUGGAAUUCCAAGUGGAGCGGUGAAAUGCGUAGAUAUUUGGAGGAACACCAGUGGCGAAGGCGGCUUACUGGGCCGGAACUGACGCUGAGGUACGAAAGCGUGGGGAGCAAACAGGAUUAGAUACCCUGGUAGUCCMCGCCGUUCCAUGAGCACUAAGUGUCGGAUAUAAAUUCGGCGCUGUAGUUAACACAUUAAGUGCUCCSCC